CUUCAGGGUACUCCUGGCACCAUAACCACUCCAGAGUUCUGUAGUGGUUAAGGUGCUCGGAGUGUUGCUUUA